UACGGGGGGGGCAAGCGUUGUUCGGAAUUACUGGGCGUAAAGGGCUCGUAGGCGGCCAACUAAGUCGGACGUGAAAUCCCUCGGCUUAACCGGGGAACUGCGUCCGAUACUGGAUGGCUUGAGUUUGGGAGAGGGAUGCGGAAUUCCAGGUGUAGCGGUGAAAUGCGUAGAUAUCUGGAGGAACACCGGUGGCGAAGGCGGUUCUCUGGGCAUGUCCUGACGCUGAGGAGCGAAAGCAUGGGGAGCGAACAGG
rnacentral:rRNA from 1 species